rnacentral:rRNA from 1 species
GUAGGGAAUAUUGGGCAAUGGAUGCAAGUCUGACCCAGCCAUCCCGCGUGCCGGAAGAAGGCCCUCAGGGUUGUAAACGGCUUUUGACGGUGAAGAAUCGACAGGAUGCGGCCUGUUUUGACGGUAGCCGUUGAAUAAGCACCGGCUAACUCCGUGCCAGCAGCCGCGGUAAUACGGAGGGUGCGAGCGUUGUCCGGAUUUAUUGGGUUUAAAGGGUGCGUAGGCUGGAAGGUCAGUCAGCGGUGAAAAGCUGUCGCUUAACGAUAGUCUUGCCGCAGAUACUUCCUUUCUUGGAUGAGGAGGAGGCCACUGGAACGGAUGGUGUAGCGGUGAAAUGCAUAGAUAUCAUCCAGAACACCGAUUGCGAAGGCAGGUGGCUGUACCUUAAUCGACGCUGAUGCACGAAAGCAUGGGGAGCAAACAGGAUUAGAUACCCUAGUAGUCC